UACGUAGGGUCCGAGCGUUGUCCGGAGUUACUGGGCGUAAAGCGCGCGCAGGCGGCGGUGUUGGCCCGGCGUGAAAGCCCCCGGCUCAACCGGGGAGGGUCGUCGGGGACCGCACCGCUUGAGGGCGGUAGGGGCUGGUGGAAUGCCUGGUGUAGUGGUGAAAUGCGUAGAGAUCAGGCGGAACACCUGUGGCGAAGGCGGCCAGCUGGGCCGUCCCUGACGCUGAGGCGCGAAAGCUAGGGGAGCGAACGGG
rnacentral:rRNA from 1 species